rnacentral:lncRNA from 10 species
CCCUUCCCCUCUGCCCAGCACCUAAGAGCAGGGAUCACGCCGCGGGGUGAUGAGCAGUGUUGCAGUCUCGCCUGGCCUUCUGAUACUAGGCUGAAAUAGAGAGGAAACAAGAGAGAACAAAAUGGGUUUUUAAAAACCAAGUACAUAUCAGAGGAGGCUGGCAUGUAAGCCCCAGCAACCAAAUGCAUUAAACACUGGACAUUUCUGUGACAGGUAAAAGCAGAACCUGCUGAGGCUGAGGAACUCUGGAAUUAAAUGAAGCAAAAACAGAAUCCUAACCAUACUGAGAAGGGUAUAUGCAUUCCCUAUGAAUCUUCCAGUUCUUAUGGGCAGCCCAAAUAUUACUUGUACAUGUUGUAUGCACACGUGAAUCUAUGUGGACGGAUGACAAAUAUUUGGGCAAGGAUCAUGCACAUAAAAUUAGCAAACAUUCAAGAACCUCAACUUUGAGGCCAAGUGCUUACAAUUGUCCCUAGUUAAAGGGGAGCUGAUUCUAAGAUUCAUGAUGCCACUGUCACCCAGAGAAGGAUCCCAGACCAGGCACACAUAGCUGACAGUUUUUGUUUCACUCCUCUUCCUUGCCCAUUCCCAGAAGUCAUGUGCUUCCCAGAAACACACAAAGCCAGACUGAGUUUCCAUUAAGAGUGGGUGGAGUUGGUUUAGAGCCAGGAAAACAAGGCAGGACAGAGGCAGCAGACACUCACUUGGACCAGGCAAAGAGGGAAGCAAGGUGGCCAGGUACUCAUGCCCAGUUGCCAUGUGGACAGCAGAUAAGACCUCUGGUAGUCUCACAGAUGGCAGGAGAGCUCAGGUCAGGAGGCUGGGCACUUUAGAGUCCACUGAAUCGAGUCAGCAGCAGAUUAUGCUGAGGCUGGCGAUAUUAUUUACUGGAUCUGCCACUGACUUUCUAAUGGUUUUUCCAGAGGCUGCCGUUUUUGUGGUCCUUCAUAGCAGUCUGUUACUUCAUCUGUUUGCCACAAAUCAAACCAGAGACCAAAAGACAGCAGGGACCUUAGAAAAUGCUCAAUAGUUGGGAAGCUAAGGUUAUGAAUAAAAGCUGGUAACUGUCACAGGUGGUCUUAUUUCUGGGUGAUCUUUUCUUGGGGAAGUCCAUGGCUAUAGCCAUCAUAAAAUUAGGGGUGAAGGGUUGGAUCUAGAAAGGAGAGGGUUUGGGCUUAAAAAGAACAUAUCUGAUUUCAGUUUUAUGUCCUGGAGAGAGACUGGGUUUGAAUAAAUACUGAUCAAAAUGAAUCCAAGAAUAGAUCACACACUGUUUUGUUCACACUUGGAAACACAGGCAAACAUUAAAAAUAAAAGCAAAUAAACCUACCCUGGUCUCUUUUUGGGGAAGUAGAUUUGACUGCUCUCAGAUGAUCAGCCUGGAUGUUCAGAAGACAAUCUGAAUUCAAAAGGACCUUUCACCUGGUUUAAUUCUCUGGCAACAAUUCAGUUUUCAAACCCAAUUCCCAAAUAAUUGCUAUUUUCAGCAUCAUGAUGCAGAUCACAAAAAUAUUCCAAUUUGGCCUGGCUCUUUUUAUGACGAUAUCCUCUCCCAGUAAUUUCUGUAACCUGCAAAGUAAGUGCCUUUUUCCUUCCACCUAGGGGGAAAAAAUUAAUGAUCCCUGUUCACACACUGACUCACGUGGGUUUUCAUCAUGGGUUAGAAAACAAAAUGGAAUUCUCUGUCCAUAAUGUGCCAUCAGGAACUGUGACCCUGCCUGACUUCACAUGAUCCUGGACUUCUAAUCAGCUGCUGGAAAUGGAAGAAAUACUAUGAGGUUCUGGAAUUGCGGUCCCUGGAAGAUUACCUGGGUUAGUUCAUUUUGGUCAAAAAAUAAAAUCAAAAGUAUGGUUAAAGAAGUAAACAGCUGGGCUGGGUGUAGUGGCUCACGUCUGUGAUCCUGGCACUUCAGGAGGCCAAGGUGGGUGGAUUGCUUAAGCCUAGGAGUUCAAGACCAGCCUGGGCAACUUGGCAAAAUCCUGUCUCUACAAAAAAUACAAAUAUCAGCCAGGUGUUGUGGCAUGCACCUGUAGUCCCAGCUGCUCAGGAGGCUGAGGUGGGAUAAUUGCUUGAGCCCCAGGAGGCAGAGGUUGCCGUGAGCCAAGAUCACGCCACUGCACUCCAGCCAGGGUGGCAGAGCGAAACCUUGUCUCAAAACAACAACAAAAAAGAAGUAAACAGCUGGUAAAGCAACCUAGCCUAAAACUUACAAAGUAGCAGAGUGAACACAUAUGUGCAUGCACACACACACACACACAACACACAUACACACAGAUGAGAGUAGCACACACGCCAAAGAUACAUCAAGCAAGUGCUUUUUUAAUCAAUACAUCAAAUGAUAUUUUUGCUAGCCUGAGGAAGCUUCUCUUUGCCUGUCCUAUCAUUCCCACCCAUUGCCU